CGGCCUCCCAAAGUGCUGGGAUUACAGGCUUGAGCCACCGCGCCCGGCCAGCAAUUCUUUACUGAACUCACAUAUGUUUUGCUGGACUGGAUUGAAAGUUGAUGCAUGUUUGGCAGUUCUCUGAAAUAAGAAAAGGAAAAGAACAUGUGAGGCGAGAUUAUGGGAAGCAUUAUUGCACGGAUGACUGGCAUUCCACAUGGUGAUGGUGGGAAAAGGGAGGACAGUCAUUUUUCCCGUCACUGAGUAAGAGAUUAUAGGGAAGCUGGUAGAGAACUGAGGAUGGUGCAGAAAGAGUGACAAAGUGACUUGUAUGAACUCCACAAAAGAAAAACUGGCUGAGUCCUGUGGACCCAACUGGGGUCUGUAUAUGGGCAUGGGGGCAAGGAUAAUGAAUUCCUCUCUUCCUGGAGCAAAGAAGGAGGUAGAGCAUAUGGCCUCCUUUGAGGGGAUUACAAGCAGUUCAGUUGUCGAGAGCAGGAGAGGUAGCAAGAAAAGGCGCAGUGAAAAGAAGUGAAGGACAUACAAGUCAAAAUCAGGGAAAAGUUUGUUCAUAAAAAGACAAAGCUGACUUCAGAUAACAUCACGGUUCCUCUGCAACUGGCAUUUAUGAUGUGUAAAUAUAGGCCAAAUAAUAAGUAACUGCAUUGUCAGUGAUCCCAAAGGGCCUUGAAGACCUUGAGAGAGGAAUCAAAUCUCAGAGGGAGAAGAUGCCUCUUGUUUUUAUGCAGAAGAGAAGAGACACACCCUUGGCCCUGUUUUUGUGUGUAACUGAAGUAGAAGCUAGGAGUAAGGAAGUGGCUGCUUUUUAAAAUCUCAUCCCUAAUAAGCCAAUGAUUUGGUAUUUAUCUUCUGGACCAGAGGGAAAAGGGAUCAAAGGAUUUCAUAAUUUUUCUGAAACAGACCAAGUACAGGGUGAUUUUUAGUUUAAAGUAAAUUGACAAGAACCUUAGAUUCCUUUAAAUUCUACUUUCCAAAAUCAAGAAGUGGCUUAAAAACACAAAAGCAAACCCUAACCCAUAUAAAGAUUAUAGGCUGGCUUAAGAAAAAGGUGGGUGGGUGGGGCUAAAUAAUCUAAUUCAUACUCUGGCAUUAAAAAUUGGAUUACAGUGCCAGGUUCAUUGCAAAUGCCAUAUACAUGUUUGCUAUUAACAUUUUAUUUCAUUAAUUGAUUAAUUGAUUCCCCAGUGUAUGUCUCAAAAACAUUUUAUUUAUAACUGAUAUUUACUCACCUCUAAAUUGUGGAGCAUUUCAUCUAUGAUCUCAUUUAAUCCUCACAACAGCUCUAAGAGGUAUGUGUUAUUGUUAUGCCUAUUUCACUUAGGAAGAAACUGAAGUGCAGGGUGGCCAGGUAAAGUUGGCCUAGUCACAUGGCUAACAAGUGGAGAAUCUGAGACUGAAGCUCAAGUUUGUCUGAUUCCAGCGGCAGCACGCUUACCACACUAUCUUACACCAACUUUCUUGUGCCAAGACAUUUUAUAGUCCGGAGGAAAUAAACACCAGUUGAGGUAAAAUGACAAUAAGAGAAACUUGGGUUUAUACGAAGGAAGAGCUUUUUGAGUGUCUGAAAGACACGAGAAAUCGAAGAUAGAUACGUCUUCCUGGAGCUGUUGUUGUCAGCAGGAAUGAGGCAGAAUGACAGCUAGAAAUCUGUCCCAACUUCAUCUCCUCUGUGAAUCUGUCCCCUGGCCAGGGCAAUUUCCAGCGAGCUUUCUCCUGUUUGAAUGCAGCCCCAAGAGCAUAUCCCAGUUCCCACUGUAAAUCCUGAGUUGAAACUGGCAUUGGGAGGCACCUGCCAGCACCCUCCUGCGAACACCGGUGAGUCUUUCCUCGGCAUCCCAAGUACGUCAUCCACCGGCUUCUGCUCCAUCAUUUCUCAGCAACGUAGAAUAUGUAAUUUUAUUAUUUAAUACAUAAGUGUAAUAUAUUUAUUUCGUUUCAGGAUGUGGAGCUGAGAAGCCCCAGUUUCCACUUUCUGACUCCUGGACUCAGCUGAUUUGAACCCCUCAGUAGAACAGCAACAGCUCAUCCGCGGCUUUCCUAGAAGUUCCUGACCUAGCAACCCGAAAGGCGUUCUAAUCAAGUGAGAAUUCAUCACUCCCAUUGGGACUUGUGAAAAUGGGAAAACAUCUGAAUAAUGGCUAUUGCUGGGGCUUUGGAACCAGACGGACCUAUCUUCUUCCUCGGCUGCAUGCAUAUUCUGGACACCUGAACAAGACAAAUGAUGGGAGGAGAAAAGAGGAGGAAAAUGACAGAAGAAAUGGCUGUCAGAAGGAGAAAGCAGUACUGGCUGACAUGUUAGAAGAACUGAUGAGAGCGGGGCCCUACAGAGAGAGAGAAGCACUGCCUAGAGGAACUGCCGGCUCAGGGCAUCUGCAGAACUGUGAGCUUAAAACUGGCAAGAGUGUAAAUGUGUAUCCUGCUUCACCCGUUUAGUAUGGCUAAUGCCCAGUGGCUCUUCAAACAAACUCUCUGUGGCACAGAGGUAAUUAGG